rnacentral:rRNA from 1 species
UACGUAGGGGGCAAGCGUUGUCCGGAAUCAUUGGGCGUAAAGCGCGUGUAGGCGGUUCGAUUAGUCUGCUGUGAAAGUCGGGGGCUCAACCCUCGAAUGCCGGUGGAUACUGUCGGGUUAGAGUGCGGAAGAGGCGAGUGGAAUUCCUGGUGUAGCGGUGAAAUGCGCAGAUAUCAGGAGGAACACCAAUUGCGAAGGCAGCUCGCUGGGACGUUACUGACGCUGAGACGCGAAAGCGUGAGGAGCAAACAGG